AGGGGUUCUGCCAUGUUGGCCAGGCUGGUCUCGAACUCCUGACCUCAGGUGAUCCACCCACCUCGGCCUCCCAAAGUGCUAGGAUCACAGACGUGAGCCAUCACUCCUGGCCACAUGUUCAUUUUAGAAAAAUCAGAAGACUUAGCUAACAAAAAGAAAUUCUAAAAGAUUAUCUAGUAUGAUCCUAUCAUGAUGAAUGCAUGUCAUUAUAUAUUUGUACAAACCCAUAAAAGGUACCACACCAAGAGUGAAUCCUAACGUAAACCAUGGUCUUUAGGUGAUAACGACAUGUCAGUGUAGGCUCAUUAUAACAAAUGUGCUCUGGUGGGGAACAUUAAUAACAGAGGGAAGUUCCAUACAUGUGGUAUAGGGGCCACAUGGGAACUCUACUUUCUGCCCAGUUUUGUUAUGAGCAUAAAAUGAUCUAAAAAAUAAAGUCUAUUAAAAAACCCAUCAAUCUAUUUGCAGAAAUAGAUUGAUCCUAAAAUUCAUGGCCAGACCUGGUGGCUCAUGCCUAUAAUCCCAACAAUUUGGGAGGCUGACUUGGGAGAAUCGCUUGAGCCAAGACCAGCUUGGGCAACAUGGCGAAAUCCUGUCUCUACAAAACACUACAAAAAUUAGCCAGGCAUGGUGGUGCACACCUAUAGUCCCAGCUACUUGGAAGGCUAAGAUGGGAGGAUCGCUUGAGCCUGGGAGGUUGAGGCUGCAGUGAGCUCUGAUCAAGCCACUGUACUCCGCCCUAGGCGGCAGAGCAACACCCUGUCUCAAAAAAAAAAAAAAAAAAAAAAAAAAAAGGAAAUUCAAGGGACCCACAAUAGCCAAAAUAAUAUUGAAAAGUAACAAAGUUGGAGGAUUCACACUUUCCAAUUUCAAAAUAUACAAGAUUCAACACAGCAUGGUACUGGCAUAAGAAUAUAUCUAUCUAUCUAGAGAUAAAUGUUUAUAUCUACAGUCAAUUGAUUUUUGACAAGAGUGACAAAAAAACAGACUUUUCAGCAAAUGGCGUGACUACAACAGGAUAUUGACAUGCAAAAGAAUAAAGCUGGAUUUCCAUCUCAAACCAUAUGUAAAAAUUAACUGAAAAUGAAUCACAGACCUAAAUGUAAGAGCUAAAACUAAAAAAACUUUUAAAAGAAAAUAUAGGAGUAAAUUUUCAGGACCUGGGGUGAAGCAAAAUCUUAGGACAUCAAAAGCACACACAACAGAAGAAAAACUAAACAAAUUGACUACAUCAAAAUUAAAAACUUUAUCAAAGCCACAGUAAGACAUCCCCUCACACCUGUUGGGAUGGCUAUUAUCAAAAAGACAAAAGGUAACAAGUGUUGGUGAGGAUGUGGAGGAAAGACAACCCUUGUACGCUAUUGGUGAGGAUGUAAAUUGGUACAGCGAACAUGGAAAACAAUAUGGAAGGUCCUCAAAAUACUAAAAACAUGUUAUGAUCCAGCAAUUCUACCUCUGGGCAUAUAUCCAAAGGAAAUGAAAGCAGUAUCUCAAAGUGAUAGCUGCACUCCCAUGUUCAUUACAGCACUAUUAUAUGUAUAUGUGUGUGUGUGUGUGUGUAUUAAUUAUAUAGCAAAGACAUGGAAACAACUAAGUGUCCUUAAACGGAUGAAUAAAGAAAAUGUGGUAUAUACAAUGGUAUAUUAUUCAGCCUUACAAAAGGAAAUCCUGCCAUUUAGGGCAACGUGGAUGAACCUGAAGAGCAUUACGCUAAGUGAAAUAAGCCAGACACAGAAAGACAAAUACUGCAUGAUCUUACUUAUAUGGGGAAUAUUAAAAAGUCAAACUCAUAGAAGCAGAGAGUAGCAUAGUGGUUGCCGGGGCUGGAGGGUGGGGGAAAUAGGGAGACGUUGGUUAAAGAGUACAAAGUUUUCGUUAGGCAGGAUGAGUGAGUGCUGAGGAUCUAAUGUACAACUUGGUGUUGACAGUUAAUAACACUCUAUUGUAUACUUGAAAUUUGGUUGGAAAGUAGAUCUUAAAUGUUCUCAUUACACAUGCAAAAAAAAGAUAACUAUGUGAGGUGAUGGAUAUGUUAACUAGCUUGAGUGUGACCAUCAUUUCACAAUGUAUACAUAUAUCAAAACACGUGGCCGAGUGCUAGGGCCCACGCCUGUAAUCCCAGCACUUCGGGAGGCAGGCGAAUUGCUUGAGGCCCAGAGUUCAAGAUUAGCUGGGCCAACAUGGUAAAACCCCAUCUCUAUUAAAAAUACAAAAAAAUUAGCUGGGCAUGGUGGUAUACCCCUGUAAUCCCAGCUACUCGGGAGGCUGAGGCACCAGAAUUGCCUGAACCCAGGAGGAGGAGGCUGCAGUGAGCUGAGAUCAUGCCACUGUACUCCAGCCUGGGUGACAGAGCAAGAUUCUGCCUCAAAAAAAAAACAAAAACAAAAACAUGUUGUACCUCAUAAAUAUAUACAAUUUUUGUAAGUUAUACCUCGAUAAAGUUGGGGGAAUUUUUUUUUUUUAAGUUUUGUGCUUCAAAAGAUACUAUCAAGAAAAUGAAAAGUCAAUCUAUAGAACGGGAGAAAACAUUUGUUUGUUUUCCUAGAGCGUUUGCUGAAACAAAAUGGGAGAAAAUAUUUGUAAAUCAUAUAUAUAGAACUUUUAUCUAGAAUAUAUAAAGAACUCUUACAACUCAUUAAUAAAAACAGAAUCCAAUUUAAAAAUGGGCAAAGGAUCUAACUAGGGCCGGGCACGGUGGCUCACGCCUGUAAUCCCAGCACUUUGGGAGGCUGAGGCGGGUGGAUCACUUGAGAUCAGGAAUUCAAGAUCAGCCAGGCCAACAUGGUGAAAUCCCAUCUCUACAAAAAAUAUAACAGUUAGCCGGGAGGGGUAGCAUGCACCUGUAAUCCCGCUACUAGGGAGGCUGAGACAGGAGAAUCACUUGAACCUGGGAGGUGGAGGUUGCAGUGAGCCGAGAUCGCGCCACUGCACUCCAGCCUGGGUGACAAGAGCGAAACUCCCGACACUCCGUUUAAAAAAAAAAAAGAAAGAAAACUGCUUCUAAUUUGCACUUUACUUACACAGUUGACCCUUGAACAACAUGGGUUUGAACUUCAGGGGUCCACUUCUGUGCGGACUUUCUUCUGCCUCUGCCAACCAAGACAGCAAGACCAACCCCCUCCCUCCUCCUCCUUCUCAAUGUGAUGAUGAGGAUGAAGAUCCAGAUGAUCCACUUCCACUCAACAAACAGUAAAUAUAGUUUCUCUUCCUUACAAUUUUCUUUUUUUUUUUUUUUGAGACAGAGUUUAGCUCUUUUGCCCAGGCUGGAGUGAAGUGGCAUGGCUCACUGCAACCUCUGCCCCGCCACCACCCCCACCCCAGGGUUCAAGCAAUUCUCCUGCCUCAGCCUCCCGAGGAGCUGGGAUUAUAGGCGCCAGCCACCACGCCUGGCUAAUUUUUGUAUUUUUAGUAGAGACGGAGUUUCGCCAUGCUGGCCAGGCUGGUCUCGAACUCCUGACCUUAGGUGAUCUGCCAGCCUCAGCCUCCCAAAGUGCUGAAAUUACAGGAAUGAGCCACCAGGCCCAGUCUCCUUACGAUUUUCUUAAUAUUUUCUUUUCUCUAGCUGACUUUAUUAUAAGUCUACAGUAUAUAAUACGUAUAGAAAAUAUGUGUGGCUUAUGCCUGUAAUCCCAGCACUUUGGGAGGCCGGGUGGGUGGAUCACUUGAGGUCAG
rnacentral:lncRNA from 1 species